GUCCUACGGGGGGCAGCAGUGGGGAAUAUUGCACAAUGGGGGAAACCCUGAUGCAGCGACGCCGCGUGAGUGAAGAAGUAUUUCGGUACGUAAAGCUCUAUCAGCAGGGAAGAAAAGAAGACGGUACCUGAGUAAGAAGCCCCGGCUAACUACGUGCCAGCAGCCGCGGUAAUACGUAGGGGGCAAGCGUUAUCCGGAAUUACUGGGGGUAAAGGGAGCGUAGACGGCAAUGCAAGUUCGGAGUGGAAUGCAUCAGCUCAACUGAUGAACUGCUCUGAAAACUGUAUAGCUAGAGUGCAGGAGGG
rnacentral:rRNA from 1 species